GACAGAGGGGGCAAGCGUUGCUCGGAAUUACUGGGCGUAAAGGGCGCGUAGGCGGGAUGGCAAGUCGGUCGUGAAAUCCUUCGGCUCAACCGAAGAACGUCGAUCGAUACUGCUGUUCUUGAGGAUUGCAGAGGAGACUGGAAUUCCCGGUGUAGCGGUGAAAUGUGUAGAGAUCGGGAGGAACACCGGUGGCGAAGGCGGGUCUCUGGGCAAUUCCUGACGCUGAGGCGCGAAAGCUAGGGGAGCAAACAGG
rnacentral:rRNA from 1 species